UUAUAUUCGUUGAAAUUUUAUCGUUAUUUUUUCAUGAUCAUCAUGAUUGUUGUAAGUUCACGACUUUUCCAGGCGAGGAUUGUGUAAUUAAGAUUUGAAUGGAUUGUAAGUAAAUAGGAAAAAGUUUUUUAAUUUUGUUCAUUGAUGGGUUUUGAAAGGGUAGAAACGUGGUUGUGCUUCUGAAAAUUGAAGUCGAUUGCUGUUUGGUUUCUGAG
rnacentral:misc_RNA from 1 species